rnacentral:tRNA from 1 species
AAGAAAGUGGCAGACCGGCUAUGUAGUUGGCUUGAAACCAAUUUAUGGGGGUUCGACUCCUCCCUUUCUCG